rnacentral:tRNA from 1 species
GAAUUUAGGUUAAUUAGAUCAAACCAAGGGCCUUCAAAGCCCUAAAUAGGAGCCACACCCCCUAAUUUCUG